rnacentral:rRNA from 1 species
UACGGAGGGUGCAAACGUUGCUCGGAAUCAUUGGGCGUAAAGCGCACGUAGGCGGUCGGCUAUGUCGGAUGUGAAAGCCUCGGGCUCAACCUGGGACACCACCCGAUACUGCUCUGGCUAGAGUCCGGUAGGGGAGCAUGGAAUUCCUGGUGUAGCGGUGAAAUGCGCAGAUAUCAGGAGGAACACCGGUGGUGUAGACGGCUUUCUGGACCGACACUGACGCUGAGACACGAAAGCGUGGGUAGCAAACAGG